GUCCACUGGGCAUUUCUGUGUCUUGGUGGGUGCGUGUCAGUUCAUGGCAAAUGAGGUAUACAUGGCCGCUACAGGCCAAACAGAGCUAAACAAAGAGCUCCAAGAAAUGAUUAUGAUGAGCUCACCUGGGGGCUUCUUCUCCCUUAAACCCCCUCUCCCCUCUCCUCCUGGCCAGUGCUGCUGCAAAGGAGAGCACACUAUUGAAGUAUACGCACCAUGACUGCACUUUAGAGACAAAACUGGGAGCAGAUGCUCCUUGGCUUAUAGUCAGUCCUCCAAAGUCCAAGAAUAUCCAUUUAAAGAGACAGAGGCAUGCUAACUUUGUCCCAUUAGCGGUUCAUAACAUUUUUUGUCUACUGCAAGGCAAGCAUGAAUAAAAAAGAAAUUCCCUGAUGUAUGGGAACUGUUGAGUCACGGUUGGAAUCCUGAGUGAACACCUGGGAAAGGACCCAAUCAGCCAAGGGAGCACAGGUGAAGGCAAUUCUGCUAUGUGAUAGGAAAGGGUGGAGCCUGGCUGCACCUCUCUUAGACCUCAUUUAAGGGCUGACUGCCACUAGGGAAGGAUCUCUUUCUGGAGAUUCCUCUUUGGUGAAGCUUUCCUUUCUGAACCUGGAAUCUUCUGUUAUGGGUGAACAAUCUACUUCCCUUCUUUUAUAGCACCUUUCUGUUGUGCAGGUCCUUCCAUUGUCACGUCUCUGUUGCAAUGUCUUUCCCACUUUGUUGAUCUGUCCAAUUGUUACACCUGGCUGCGUGGGUUUUAUGGAUUUGUUUCUCCCCCUGCUCAUCUUAAUAAACUAAGAUUCAUAAAAUUCAGGAAAAAGUAUUUCAUGAGGCUUCUGUUGGGUAAUGAUUGAAUUGGUGUCGUUGAAUGAGAAUAAUAGAGGAGGAAGGUCAGGAAUAGACUAGAAAUGGCUGUUUUGCUAUCUAGUGAUAGUGAGGUACCAGUUAAUUAGACCUGCCAAAGAACUGGGAGAGGGGGAUUACCUGCGUUGUGUGUCAACAGUCAUAUUAAUAUUCCUUAAUUGAUUGCACAGAGACUGGAGGAAAGUUGAGCAGCAAGCACUGUGCAGACCUCCAAUAGCACUAGGCAAGCAGUGAUUUUUUUGACAGCAAAUGCAGAAUCUGUGGAAACAGAGUCUGCUCUCUACAUCCCCAUUAAUUUCCCCAGGUGUAGCAGGAUAACUAACCUCUGACCUGAAAAUCUAUGCCCUUUCUCACUGUGGCCUGUCUUACCCUGUACCAGCAGCCUCUCACCUUGUGGUCCCAGCCUACAAAUGAGGAGUCUCAGAAGGGUAACCACCUUGGUGAUAGCCAAUUACAGUGCGUGGGGCAGGUCUUGAGAGAGGAUGGCAGCGUGCCACUGUUGAAGUAACAAGCACACUCACUGUGGUGUGCUCAGAGUUGCUGGGGCUGGAGAUGAAAGAUGAACAUAAAUCAGCCAGCCUGAUGUGGGGCUGUGCCUGCUGCCAGUUUGUAAAUGAUUCCUGUCAGUUUCAAGCCAGAAAGUGCAGAAACCUGAAUGCUAUUCAGCUGGAGCAUCCAGCAGCCUCUCUGUGUCUUUGUGUACAGAAAUUGCCUCCCUGGUAAUACCAUCCUUUGCACACUGAGCUUUGAAUCAACAGAUGUCCAGUUUCCAGACUCUGUAGAAGUAAAAUCUACUGCAGAAAUCUCUCCUGCAGGUCUCUACAUUGGCAAAGCGAGACAGGAAUAUUUCACCUGACUGCAGAAGUGUCUAACACAGCAUCCGCUAAGCAUAGUGCUGCUAUCGGAGCUGCUAGACGUCCUCAGACAACCUUGUCAGAAUUAAUGUGGAUACACAGGAACACUCUGUGGCCUCAGAUGGCUGUGGGGAGAUCCACGUGUGUUCUUGCUGUGUGGAGAGCUGGAAGAUGGGAGGAAUAGGAUUGCUACACAGUCACCUUGCAAUGUUGGUUUGGGGCAACAUUUGCUCAGCACUGAACAAAUGGAGAUGGGAUGGGCUGGGGGCCCAUGAAGGUACUGCAUGGAGCCUGCAGCUGAACAGGUUUUACCUCUGUUGUGAGGAUGAGGCUGCUGUGUGGAUGGGAAGCACCAAGUCAGUCAGAUGGUGAAGCAGGCCUGACCCCAUUAUCCAGCAUAUGCUCUACUUUUAUGUAUUAUGAUUGUGUAGGAGAAUUGGUUAAGUGCAGAGUCCUCUGGAGUUUGCCCCAAAGAGGUGAAGGAGUUGCCUGGGAAUGGUGUCACCUGCACAGGGGCAGCAGCCCACCUGCAGAGACAGAGAUGCUGCUAUAGCAGCAUUCACAGUGAAGGCCAAGGUAGAUCUGUGCACUCCACCCUUACAGCUGGUGUGUAAGUAUGUGGCUGGAAGAAACGGACUAUUUGGGGUGUAGAGGAAGGGCUACAAAUGCACAGGCAAAGGGAAAAGAUCUGGUGUGGCCAGACAGAAUAAUCAACUAGCAAGAGAUACAAGUGAUGAUU